rnacentral:rRNA from 1 species
GACGAACGCUGGCGGCGUGCUUAACACAUGCAAGUCGAACGGAAAGGCCCUGCUUUUGUGGGGUGCUCGAGUGGCGAACGGGUGAGUAACACGUGAGUAACCUGCCCUUGACUUUGGGAUAACUUCAGGAAACUGGGGCUAAUACCGGAUAGGAGCUCCUGCUGCAUGGUGGGGGUUGGAAAGUUUCGGCGGUUGGGGAUGGACUCGCGGCUUAUCAGCUUGUUGGUGGGGUAGUGGCUUACCAAGGCUUUGACGGGUAGCCGGCCUGAGAGGGUGACCGGCCAAAUGGGGACUGAGAUACGGCCCAGACUCCUACGGGAGGCAGCAGUGGGGAAUAUUGCACAAUGGGCGGAAGCCUGAUGCAGCAACGCCGCGGGCGGGAUGAGGGCCUUCGGGUUGUAAACAGCUUUCGCCUGGGACGAAGCGUGAGUGACGGUAAUGGGUAAAGAAGCACCGGCUAACUACGUG